UACAGAGGUCUCAAGCGUUGUUCGGAUUCAUUGGGCGUAAAGGGUGUGUAGGUGGCGCCGUAAGUCGGGUGUGAAAUUUCGGAGCUUAACUCCGAAACUGCAUUCGAUACUGCGGUGCUUGAGGACUGGAGAGGAGACUGGAAUUCAUGGUGUAGCGGUGAAAUGCGUAGAGAUGUGGAGGAACAUCAGUGGCGAAGGCGACUCUUUGGCCUGUAACUGACGCUGAGGCGCGAAAGCGUGGGGAGCAAACAGG
rnacentral:rRNA from 1 species